rnacentral:rRNA from 1 species
AUUGAACGCUGGCGGCAUGCCUUACACAUGCAAGUCGAACGGUAACAGGUUAAGCUGACGAGUGGCGAACGGGUGAGUAAUAUAUCGGAACGUGCCCAGUCGUGGGGGAUAACGUAGCGAAAGCUACGCUAAUACCGCAUACGAUCUACGGAUGAAAGCGGGGGAUCGCAAGACCUCGCGCGAUUGGAGCGGCCGAUAUCAGAUUAGGUUGUUGGUGAGGUAAAAGCUCACCAAGCCUGGGAUCUGUAGCUGGUCUGAGAGGACGACCAGCCAAACUGGAACUGAGACACGGUCCAGACUCCGACGGGAGGCAGCAGUGGGGAAUUUUGGACAAUGGACGCAAGUCUGAUCCAGCAAUGCCGCGUGCAGGACGAAGGCCUUCGGGUUGUAAACUGCUUUUGUACGGAACGAAACGGUGAGCUCUAAUACAGUUUGCUAAUGACGGUACCGUAAGAAUAAGCACCGGCUAACUACGUGCCAGCCGCCGCCGUAA